rnacentral:rRNA from 1 species
AACGAACGCUGGCGGCAUGCCUAACACAUGCAAGUCGAACGAUGCCUCCGGGCAUAGUGGCGCACGGGUGCGUAACGCGUGGGAAUCUGCCCUUGGGUUCGGAAUAACUCGCCGAAAGGCGAGCUAAUACCGGAUGAUGACGUAAGUCCAAAGAUUUAUCGCCCAAGGAUGAGCCCGCGUAGGAUUAGCUAGUUGGUGGGGUAAAGGCCCACCAAGGCGACGAUCCUUAGCUGGUCUGAGAGGAUGAUCAGCCACACUGGGACUGAGACACGGCCCAGACUCCUACGGGAGGCAGCAGUGGGGAAUAUUGGACAAUGGGCGAAAGCCUGAUCCAGCAAUGCCGCGUGAGUGAUGAAGGCCUUAGGGUUGUAAAGCUCUUUUACCCGGGAUGAUAAUGACAGUACCGGGAGAAUAAGCUCCGGCUAACUCCG